rnacentral:rRNA from 1 species
CCUACGGGUGGCUGCAGUGAGGAAUAUUGGUCAAUGGACGGAAGUCUGAACCAGCCAUGCCGCGUGCAGGAAGACGGCCCUAUGAGUUGUAAACUGCUUUUGUACAAGGGUAAACCUGAAUACGUGUAUUCAGCUGAAAGUACUGUACGUAUAAGGAUCGGCGAACUCCGUGCCAGCAGCCGCGGCACUACGGUGGAUCCAAGCGUUAUCCGGAUUUAUUGGGGUAAAGGGGUGCGUAGGCGGAUUGAUAAGUCAGUGGUAAAAUUGAGGGGCUCAACCCCUUCCCGCCAUUGAAACUGGCGCUCUUGAGUGGAAGAGAGGUAUGCGGAAUGCGUGGUGUAGCGGUGAAAUGCGUAGAUAUGACGCAGAACCCCGAUGGCGAAGGCAGCCUGCCGGCUUCCGACUGACGCUGAAGCACGAAAGCGUGGGGAUCGAACAGGAUUAGAUACCCGGGUAGUC